UUGAACGCUGGCGGCAGGCCUAACACAUGCAAGUCGAACGGUAACAGGAAGAAGCUUGCUUCUUUGCUGACGAGUGGCGGACGGGUGAGUAAUGUCUGGGAAACUGCCUGAUGGAGGGGGAUAACUACUGGAAACGGUAGCUAAUACCGCAUAACGUCGCAAGACCAAAGAGGGGGACCUUCGGGCCUCUUGCCAUCGGAUGUGCCCAGAUGGGAUUAGCUAGUAGGUGGGGUAACGGCUCACCUAGGCGACGAUCCCUAGCUGGUCUGAGAGGAUGACCAGCCACACUGGAACUGAGACACGGUCCAGACUCCUACGGGAGGCAGCAGUGGGGAAUAUUGCACAAUGGGCGCAAGCCUGAUGCAGCCAUGCCGCGUGUAUGAAGAAGGCCUUCGGGUUGUAAAGUACUUUCAGCGGGGAGGAAGGGAGUAAAGUUAAUACCUUUGCUCAUUGACGUUACCCGCAGAAGAAGCACCGGCUAACUCCGUGCCAGCAGCCGCGGUAAUACGGAGGGUGCAAGCGUUAAUCGGAAUUACUGGGCGUAAAGCGCACGCAGGCGGUUUGUUAAGUCAGAUGUGAAAUCCCCGGGCUCAACCUGGGAACUGCAUCUGAUACUGGCAAGCUUGAGUCUCGUAGAGGGGGGUAGAAUUCCGGGUGUAGCGGUGAAAUGCGUAGAGAUCUGGAGGAAUACCGGUGGCGAAGGCGGCCCCCUGGACGAAGACUGACGCUCAGGUGCGAAAGCGUGGGGAGCAAACAGGAUUAGAUACCCUGGUAGUCCACGCCGUAAACGAUGUCGACUUGGAGGUUGUGCCCUUGAGGCGUGGCUUCCGGAGCUAACGCGUUAAGUCGACCGCCUGGGGAGUACGGCCGCAAGGUUAAAACUCAAAUGAAUUGACGGGGGCCCGCACAAGCGGUGGAGCAUGUGGUUUAAUUCGAUGCAACGCGAAGAACCUUACCUGGUCUUGACAUCCACGGAAGUUUUCAGAGAUGAGAAUGUGCCUUCGGGAACCGUGAGACAGGUGCUGCAUGGCUGUCGUCAGCUCGUGUUGUGAAAUGUUGGGUUAAGUCCCGCAACGAGCGCAACCCUUAUCCUUUGUUGCCAGCGGUCCGGCCGGGAACUCAAAGGAGACUGCCAGUGAUAAACUGGAGGAAGGUGGGGAUGACGUCAAAUCAUCAUGCCCUUUAUGUCCUUGGCUACACACGUACUACAAUGGCUGUAACAGAGGGAAGCGAACCAGUGAUGGUAAGCGAAACCCGAAAAGCAGUCACAGUUCGGAUUGAAGGCUGAAACUCGCCUUCAUGAAGCCGGAAUUGCUAGUAAUGGCAGGUCAGCAUACUGCCGUGAAUACGUUCCCGGGCCUUGUACACACCGCCCGUCACACCAUGAGAGUUGGGGAUACCCGAAGCCUGUGAGCCAACAGUUAAAUGGGGCAGCAGUCGAAGGUAGAAUCAAUGAUUGGGGUG
rnacentral:rRNA from 1 species